GUGAACGCUGGCGGUAGGCCUAACACAUGCAAGUCGAACGGCAGCACAGUAAGAGCUUGCUCUUACGGGUGGCGAGUGGCGGACGGGUGAGGAAUACAUCGGAAUCUACUUUUUCGUGGGGGAUAACGUAGGGAAACUUACGCUAAUACCGCAUACGACCUACGGGUGAAAGCAGGGGAUCUUCGGACCUUGCGCGAUUGAAUGAGCCGAUGUCGGAUUAGCUAGUUGGCGGGGUAAAGGCCCACCAAGGCGACGAUCCGUAGCUGGUCUGAGAGGAUGAUCAGCCACACUGGAACUGAGACACGGUCCAGACUCCUACGGGAGGCAGCAGUGGGGAAUAUUGGACAAUGGGCGCAAGCCUGAUCCAGCCAUACCGCGUGGGUGAAGAAGGCCUCCGGGUUGUAAAGCCCUUUUGUUGGGAAAGAAAAGCAGCAGGUUAAUACCCCGCUGUUCUGACGGUACCCAAAGAAUAAGCACCGGCUAACUUCGUG
rnacentral:rRNA from 1 species